GACGAACGCUGGCGGCGUGCUUAACACAUGCAAGUCGAACGGAAAGGCCCUGCUUUUGUGGGGUGCUCGAGUGGCGAACGGGUGAGUAACACGUGAGUAACCUGCCCUUGACUUUGGGACAACUUCAGGAAACUGGGGCUAAUACCGGAUAGGAGCUCCUGCUGCACGGUGGGGGUUGGAAAGUUUCGGCGGUUGGGGAUGGACUCGCGGCUUAUCAGCUUGUUGGUGGGGUAGUGGCUUACCAAGGCUAUGACGGGUAGCCGGCCUGAGAGGGUGACCGGCCACAUUGGGACUGAGAUACGGCGCAGACUCCUACGGGAGGCAGCAGUGGGGAAUAUUGCACAAUGGGCGGAAGCCUGAUGCAGCAACGCCGCGUGCGGGAUGACGGCCUUCGGGUUGUAAACCGCUUUCGCCUGUGACGAAGCGUGAGUGACGGUAAUGGGUAAAGAAGCACCGGCUAACUACGUG
rnacentral:rRNA from 1 species